GGGAGGCCUGGCUCUGGUGUGGGCUGCGGGGAGAAGGCGCGGGAAGGAAGGAAGGAGGCGAAGCGGUGCGGGAGGGAGGCGGCCGUUGCCAUGGAAGGAGCUGCAAGGAGCACCACCAGGUGGUCAUCUGGAAGCUGAGUCUCUCUGAGGGCCUCUGUAGUCACCAAUGGUCACAAACGGCCAGCGGUCACUCAUUUCCCAUCAGCGUUCUGGAUAGGAGUGAUGCUGUCCAAGCCCCUGGAAUCGUAGCAUCACCUGACUCAGGCCAUCCUCGGGGGUGGGACAUGUAGAAGGUGACAGGGCAUAAGGACAAGGAGAAAGCCUGGUCCUGCCCCAGGCUAUGUGGGAACCGCUGUGAAAUCGCCUACAGGACAUUAGCACCUGGCCACAAAGCCAGAGUCAGCCCUACCCGUCUAGGGAAAUGGUGGGCUCCCUUUGAGACCAACAUCCAUUUCCUGACUCUGGGGGUUACCCCGUAGAUGAUCCCGCAGGAGAUGACAGUGCGCUCAUGGUGUGGCUCAACAGAUCCACAUUCACCUUGCUCAAGGCCCCUGCCCCUGGAGUGAGACUGUGCCUGUUUAUCAGUGGAUGGGCGUGAGCUGCAGUGAGUGUGGGGGGCCAGGUUGCUCGCUGGAGGAGGGAAAGGUUCCGGAAAGGACAGCACAGACACUGAGCCCCUGUGGUCCGGGAAGCUUUUCCUAGAAACUCCCAGGCCAGUGGUGUUCAGCUCUGCCGCCCAAAGCAUCUCAAAGAUGUGCUGGAGUUUCCCAGAACGAGGUCAAUUUGUCCACCAGACCAGAAGCUUCCUGUGUGUGCUUUAUCUCACCACUGGCAGCCCAGGGCCCCGCAGAGAACUGCCACUCAGUAGGUCUUCGUUGGUAUUUGCUGAAGAAACAAGUCUGCCCCUAAACAGAGAAGGUGGCAAGGUAGUUACUAUCUGGCUUGGAGAUUAUGUAUGAGUUGAUUGGUCACGUCAAAAGUCAAAAUUAAAUCUAUCCAGAUGCCAUAGUUAAAAGGGCCCAAUGAUGUAUUGGUUGGGUGAUUUCUUUUGUGAAAACAGCUCUAAAGCGUUAUCCAUUUUUCUCUCCAGAGCUCACUUUAAAUGUGUUCCAUUUUGGACUUUAGAAUUUAUUUUAGGGCUCCCACAGUAUCUUUGCUCUCUGAGACUUGCAAUGGCUCUGGGCUAAAAGCAAUAGCCAACUUCAGAAGGGGAAGGAGAAAGGCUCUGCGUCGCAGAUUGCAGCCUCCAAAAGGGGAAAAUUUUCCAGAGACCUCCGGUGGUGGCUACGGCAAAGUUCUCUUCUGUCUGGGGGCCAUCUCAGGCCCCCUUUCAUCCAAGGAAGCAAACAUUUCUGCACAAAAACAAUCCUCAGCCACAAAGCCAGAGCUUUCUGAGCAUGUGGAUCAGUCGGAAUGCUCCAGCAAUAAUGAGUAACUUUGAAUAAUGCUUGAGCAAAGUUUCCCAGCAGCUGAGCGGAGGCCGUGGGUUCGCCGGGAGCACUGCAGGCCCUUGGUCCUGUCCCCAGGGCUGCUCAUGGAGGAUGGAGGAGCAUGCAAACAGCACUUUAAGUGAUCAUCGCUGAUCCUUUCUGUUCCUCUGUAUCAGAAAAAAUACUCUAGCACAGCAAACCUGUGAUUUCUCCAACAUUCUUAUUCAAGACAAGGAGAAACUAGGUAUUUAAAUGAACUGAAACAAAUAAGUAAAUAAUACCGCGUGUGGUACAAGGGUAUAGCGAAAAUCAUGAGUGUAUCAUGCAAAUGACUAAAGUUUGGGAGAUGUGGCUUUUUGUCACAUAGCCGUGGUCCUCAGCAUGAAAGCACACACACUCUGAGCUCCCUGCUCCUGCCUUCUGUGAUCAAUGUUUCUAAAGCCCGUGGGCAGCCAGAAAUCAGAGUACAAUAAAUAUGUGCAAUGGAAUGUGGAGGGAGAGUGCAAUGAGGAUGUUUUUUGGUCUCAAUAACAAUUUUUUCUUUGGUCUCACCUACAAAGUAGAAGGUCACUAAUCCAUGAAUUGCAGAUCAAAAGGAAACUUUGAGACCAUGUGGUGAAUCAAGCAUUCUCACCCUAUUUCACAGACGAGGAGACUGAGUCUCAGAGGAGAAGGGGACUUGCCUAAGAUUAUACAGCAAGUGAGAACUGGCCCUAGAAAGCAAUUUUUAGAUCAAAAACAACAGCCUAAAUUCCUGGACGUAUAACACAUGCCUACAAAUCAAUAAGAAAGAACCAGUCGAAAAACGGGGUAAGGAUUUCAGAGAAAAUACAAACAUCAUUUAAACAUCAGAAAAGAUGCUCAACUCCGGGCAUAAUAGACACACACGUUAAAAUUAUACUGACACAUCUGCUUCUAGCUAUGAUGGACUAGCCUGCAUCAGACCAAUCACCCUGCUGGGAGCAAUUCGGAAGGCUGGAUGAAAUACUACAGAAACAGCUGUUUGAAGAUACUGGAGAGGCACCAAGGGUCCCAGAUCCCAGAUCCCAGAGAGGAGGGAAGCUCACAGAGGGGAGCCUGCUGUUCG
rnacentral:lncRNA from 1 species